rnacentral:ncRNA from 1 species
CCGUCCGCCUCGUGAUCGUCUUCUCAGCCUUCACCGGCGGGCGUGUACAGCGGAGGACCCCCGUGAGGACGUGACUCACGGGGGUCCUUC